GCUGGUUUCCUGUCAUCCGGAGCAGCUUUCAUAAAAUCGCAAGGUAUACAGUAACAGAGUUAGGAGCUAAAAGUGCCUUUUUGUCGACCGAGCCCAGCACUCCCACGUCGGCGCAGGCCAGGACCCCGUGACCUUGUUUCCGCUGCCACUGGCCCUGAGCUGGCAGGGCAGCAGGGUCCACCCACUACGCCCUUCUCCCUUCCCAGCACUCAGAGCCCAGCCGUGACCAGCUGAUGUACGAUGGGCGUCAGGAGAGCCGGGCUAACAGACUGUUUAGCCGGCCUAUAAAAUCCAUGCUCUACUUUCUCUGCAUUACUUGGUGCUGGUGACUCCCCAGUCCCUCAAGGUGUAACCCUGCUUCUCUAGUUGGCCCACUGGACACCACUCUGGAUGCCAUUCUGCCACUUCACAUGUUUUGAAAAGGUUUAACUCACCUGGCCCCGUCAGACAAAGAAAACACUUUACAACGUGAGGCAAUAUAUGUGUCUAACAGUGGUGCAGGGGAGUUAAACAGGACGAUCCAUGCAGUGUGUUCAGUACAUCUCAUCUGUCAUAAGCCCCCAGUAAUGCUGGGUAUGACUUCUGCCAUGACUGUUCUAAUACUUCUACCACAGUUUGAGGAUCCUUAAUCCAAAAAUGUGAAAUCCAAAAAGCUCCAAAGUCUGAAACUUCCUGAGCACUGACAUGAAAACACGCGUCCAGGAUUCCCCAUCUGACUUCACGAGAUGGUUGGCAAUAAAAUGCAGGCUGGUAAAAUUGCUGUGCUGUAUGAAAUCACCUCCAGGCUGUGGGAGUAAGGUCCGGCCCUCCAGCACGGUGACCCUGUCCUCAUGUGCAGUCGUGUGCUGUUCCCUCAUUUGACUGGUUCCAUGGAGCAAAGGCGCACCAGAAGAAUGCAAGCACCUCCAUACAGGUCAACUUCAUUCUGGCAAGAAAUUCCAGCCAUAAUUCUAACAUGAAACGUAAGAAAAAUUCAGAAACCGAAACUUGAAGUUUGCUAGAUUAAAAAUACAGCAAGGUCCUUAUCAAGUUCCAGCUUGGUGAAGGCCUUCGAUUUUACUGUUUUACAAAAGGCUUCUAAACAAACCCAGUCUCAAAGCAAACAGCUUUCCCUUUGGUAUACAGGCUCGGUUUGUCUAAGUAUUAGUUUAAGGAACUGGUUGUUUUGUCUAAGAAAAGCCAUCUCCACAAAACCGACAUAUUUCUUCUUUCCGUGGCAAUGAUAU
rnacentral:lncRNA from 1 species